rnacentral:lncRNA from 1 species
AUUUAGAAUGGGUGUGAGUGAGCCAACUAAUAUUUUCAAAGCAGAUUUCUGUUUUGCUGCUUGAAGUCAGAUCCGCAAGCUUUCAAGACCAGAUGAAAGAUGAUAAAAUGCCAUCCUUUGGCUGAGAAACCAAAUCAGGUUUAUUAUUUGGAUGGAAGACCAUCUGUACCAUUCAGGGGUCAAUCAGGAAAACAGAUAAAUGCAUGCCAGGUCAUUAAGAGAGAGAAUUGAAUAUGGGGAACUAAUUGCAAUGCUACUCUAGGAAUAGAAAAGCCAAACAAGGGACAGAGAUAUCUACAAUCCCUAGGGCUGGAGACACCAAGGAGAAAACGCUGCUACCAGGGUCCACAAGCUGG